rnacentral:rRNA from 1 species
UACGUAGGGUGCAAGCGUUGUCCGGAAUUAUUGGGCGUAAAGGGCUCGUAGGCGGUCCAUCGCGUCGGGAGUGAAAAGCUGGGGCUUAACCCCAGUCCUGCUUCCGAUACGGGUGGACUAGAGGUAGGUAGGGGAGAUCGGAAUUCCUGGUGUAGCGGUGAAAUGCGCAGAUAUCAGGAGGAACACCGGUGGCGAAGGCGGAUCUCUGGGCCUUACCUGACGCUGAGGAGCGAAAGCAUGGGGAGCAAACGGG